AGUAAGGAAAACUAUAGUUCAUGCCGAGUAAAACAAAUAAGGUUAGGUUGAAAGGUGGUAGAUCUCGUAUGUUUGGAAGGUAUAGCAAAAAUGUUACUGUACAUUAAAUCUUGCCCUUAUCGCCAGUGACGUUCUAAAUAAAUAUCAACAUCUCACUGACAACGGUUAUCGUCGCCAUGGUGCGUCACAGCACAUUGCAGAAACAGGUGUUAUCACUGUACCGUCAGUUCCUACGCGCUGGGCGAGAUAAGCCGGGUUUUCUACCGAGGAUACGUGAGGAAUUCCGCUCAAACGCUGCCAUAAAAAAGACAGAUGUCAUGUAUAUAGAAUAUGUUUAUCGGCGUGCCCAAAGACAACUGGAACAAUUAAAAGAUGUAAAUACGAAACAACUGGGAUUCUUUUGCAAGCCUAAAGAGGACCGCUGAUUGUUGCCCCUCAACGUUAAAAUUUUUCUUGAAUUGGGAAGCAAACGGACAAACUGUAUUCUAGUAGUGCAGAGAACUUGUGUGUAUAUGGCAGGUAUUAAAAUGAAUGAUGGAUAGAUACCAGUAAACAGUUUAAAAUAAAAGAAAUAAUAAAUAUUUAAACUUGUCUGUAGACUUUUUGCCACUGGCGUAUUCUACUGCCAGGUAUAAGGCUACUGCACUCGUAUUUACAUACAGAAUUCAUGCAAAGGAAACUAUGCAAUAGUGCAUGCGAUUAUCACUGGAAAAUUCUGAAUCCCACGACAAGGGGGCUGAAUAAAGGAUUAACUGAUUGUUUGUUUGCUGUUUACUAAUUUUUUGUUAGCUAAGAUAUCAAGCUCCCAGGCCUCUGAUAGAGGUCCUGAGCUUGAAGGAGGAGGAUGACUAGGGAAUUUAUAUAUACAUAUAUAUGUUUGUGUGUGUGUGGUGAAGGUUAAAGGGAAAGUUCACCCAAGAUCACAUCUGAUGUCUGUUAGAUGUGUCGAACAGUUUUUGUAUUAAUAUAUGUAGUUGGAUAUUGUAUUAAUAUGCUUUAGUUGUUUUUUUCUUCUUUUGCUUCUUCACUACCAACAACUGGCAAACUAAAUUAGAAUGCAUGCAUAAAUGAUUUAUCAAUGUUAAUUCCUUCAUUUUGGCAUUGAAUGGUGUUCGCUGACGAUGGUGGGUGUUUUAUUUUAAAUCAAAUAAAUAUGGUCAAAUGUGAAGUAAAGCAUGUAUUCAAAAGCACCGAUUUGGCAUAACCACUAGGGGGCACUAAUAUUUACAAGCUAUCUUAUUUAACUCAAGCAAGCGGAAAGGCAGCGUAUGUAAACAGGAAGUGAAAAGGUUUGGAAAAUAUGGCGGAUCUGAGGAGGGAAAACUCGAGCAGUGAGAUGUCGGAUGCUCAAUUAAUGCAGCAGUUGGCUCUACUUGGCUGGCUUACGACUGACAGUGUAGCGUGCAAAGAAUUCCUGACUGCUGUUACUGGCAUACAAGUGGCACGAGAAGUACUCAAUAGACUAUCCGGGCAAGGAAAAGUGGAUGCUUAUAGGAAAGAAUGCAUUCAAAAUGUGGCUGACUUUGUGAGAAGAAAUCCUAGGGCCUCUCAGCAGGAGCUGAACGCAGAAGUUGAGAAGAAUGUGCAUCUGUUUGCCUCCAGAGUGCAGGCCUUAGACCAUACCACUCUCCUCUGAAAGUUACUUUCAGCUAGGACCUUAAAUGCUGACCCGUUUCUAGUUUUUCCAUCUAACAUCUCCUUUUCUUUUUGGCUUUUUUUAAUCAUUAUAUGUGCUUAUGUAUUUCUUUAAUAUAUAAUGUAAUUUCGAAUUGUUUUUGUAUUGUAUGUCAAUGUCCAUCACCUUGUUUUUAAAUUACACUUUGAACAUUGGUUUAGUUAGAUAAAUUGUUGAGUGGAAUAAACAGUUUUUGAGUCCUUUUAA